AUGUUUCCGUUCAAGUUCAAGAGGAAGCAAUUUCCUGUAAGGCUUAGCUUUGCUAUGACGAUUAACAAGGCUCAAGGGCAGACCAUUCCAAUUGUUGGCGUGUACCUACCUAAUCCGGUGUUCUCUCAUGGUCAACUCUAUGUCGCGUUGUCUCGUGCCACCGCGAAGAGGAACAUAAAGAUCCUCAUUGAGAAGGAUAAGAACAAAGAUAAUGGCAAGAAGCAAAGCAGUAGAACAAAGAAGCGAAAAAGACCUGCCUUGUCCUUAGAGACCUCGAUGAAGAACAUCGUCUAUAAGGAAGUCCUUACAGGUUGA
rnacentral:rRNA from 1 species